rnacentral:rRNA from 1 species
GACAGAGGGGGCAAGCGUUGCUCGGAAUUACUGGGCGUAAAGGGCGCGUAGGCGGGAUGGCAAGUCGGUCGUGAAAUCCCUCGGCUCAACUGAGGAGCGUCGAUCGAAACUGCCGUUCUUGAGGAUUGCAGAGGAGACUGGAAUUCCCGGUGUAGCGGUGAAAUGUGUAGAGAUCGGGAGGAACACCGGUGGCGAAGGCGGGUCGCUGGGCAAUUCCUGACGCUGAGGCGCGAAAGCGUGGGGAGCAAACGGG